CUCAUUCAACCUUACCAGUUCUUUUGUCUGGUGGUACAGUCCACUUGCCCCACACCUCAGGGUAGGGUGGUGCCUUUAUGAACCAACUCCCAAACCCCGCUCCAUUCAGGAUGGGAUGUUGAUAAACCCAGUUCUGUGUAGGUCAACUUUAGUUUAGGGAUCCCUUUUCAGUAAAAUAAGGACUGCUCAUAAGAGAGCAGUGUUUGGGUGUUUUUACUUUGUUUUAUUUUCCUUUUACUGGGUAUUGCUGUAUAAGCUGACUGCAAUUCACUGUGGCUUAAGCUGGCCUCACAUCCAGUCUUUCUGCCUUCCAAGUACAGAAUUUACAGACAUGUUACCUGGCUUAAGACAAGAUCCCUGCAGAAGAGAAUCUUCUCACACAACAUAUUUUUUUCCAUACCAAAUAGUGGGAGGACUUGGAGAAAUUGUAUAUUUGCUGACAAUAUUAUUCUGGUUUUUGUUGUUGUUUUAUACUCUUUUAUAUUCAGGAUGAGGAGGAGUCCUUGAAUGAAGUAGGCUAUGAUGACAUCGGUGGUUGCAGGAAGCAGCUAGCUCAGAUAAAGGAGAUGGUGGAGCUGCCACUGAGACAUCCUGCACUCUUUAAGGCAAUUGGUGUGAAGCCUCCUCGGGGAAUCUUGCUAUAUGGACCUCCUGGGACAGGGAAAACCUUGAUUGCCCGAGCUGUGGCAAAUGAAACUGGAGCCUUCUUCUUUCUGAUCAAUGGUCCUGAAAUCAUGAGCAAAUUGGCUGGUGAGUCUGA
rnacentral:lncRNA from 1 species